UCGCAUGUUUUCAAAUCAUUUUUCCCUCAAAAGCAAACAUCAGGCAAAAAAUGAGAUGAUCAGAGAAAAGGUUGCAGCCUCCGAGCAUUGAGACCAUUCUGUGUGCCUCAGGCACAAUGAUGAAGUGCAGUUGCGGAUUAACGUGAAGAAGUUGGGAAAUCUGUCUUCCGCACCUUUCAAGGCCGAUCCCUUGACAAGCGUGAACAAAACACACUCCUAUUCUCCACCGAGAUGAUUGAAGUCCUGUCUUCUGUCAACAACUAUGAAAAGAUGUUGCACUCGGUCAAGCAAAAAAAAAAAAAAAAAUUGCAUAUCCAUGCAUAAAACCGCUUACUGUACUCAAUCAAAUACACACAGAGACACACGCUCACAAUCACUGGCUAUUUUCUUCCAAUAGUUUCAUGAAUAAAGUACACAUGACAGUUUGUUUCACGGCGGAGUUGCUCACAUCUGGAAGCUGUCAAAAAGCACAGCAGAGGAACCAAAGGAAUGAAUUCAAUGCCUGCUGCGGAGCAAGCCUAAAACUGGGCUCUGCCUCAAGUCAGCACAAAACAACGUUUCACACCAGGCACAGUGGAAAUGAAAGUCAAGCUUUAAAAGACAGUUUUCAAAGUUAAUCCACGACAUCAAAAAAAAAAAAAAAAGAACACCAUUCAUCCAUUUCCCGAACAACUUAUCUUUGCGUGUAACUCAGUUAAGAGGACAUAGCCAGGCCAUGAGGUCCAUUUCAGCUUCUUCCAGCCACAUCGAGUUCACGCAGUGUUUAUCAAAGCCAUUCCACAGUUUGCACAAUUCCACAAUCUUAGCGAAACACGAAAUUCUCUAUUUUUAGCCAGGGGAAGCCGUGGCAUGGGUCAAGAGGAAAUGAUCGGACUUGCGAAAACAGGAAUGUUUGUCGAUUGAGCAUUUUGCAAGGAAACGGGGCCUACUCACUUUGAAAGAUCAAACAUAAAUCCGUGUGAGAAACACGUGCGAGUAAGACUGAAAAUAGAAUCUUCAACACCUUAUGUAUCCAUGUAUGCCUGCUGAGCUAAAAUUAUCCACUUCGGGAAAUCUUCUCCCAAAAAUAAUUAUCUUAGAAGUGUACGUUUUAUUCAGCCAGACAAUAAAGAUUUCAAAUGCUUUGACUCGGAGCUCUGUGUGUGUCCCUCAACCACAGAAGUCAUUCUUUUGUGUUUUCCAAACCUGUUUUUUUUUUUGUUUUUUUUUUCCACGGCACCGACUGACACCUCCUCCACCCCAUUUCCCUUAUCAGUGGUGAGCACACACGGAGGAGUGUGGCUUCUGGGCGGACUCAAAGGUCCUUUCUCCGUGAAACGCCUUGAUAGCUUUUAUCUCAGCAGCAGCGUCUCCAACCUGCAGUCUCUGCUUUCGGAGGAGAAUACAUAUUGCCCGACGGCAAAGAAAAGAGUCUGCGGGCUUUUAAGGAGCCUAUAGCUGAUACAGUACAGUAAGAAGGCGGGGGUGGUGAGCUAUGAGAGGUAUAAUUCAAGGACGCCGCCCUUGAACUUCUCAAAUGGACAAAUUGUAAGCGGAUGCAGUGCGAUUUCCUGUAACCAAACGAAGCUAGACAACACAGCACUCUAACAUCCAGGCUAGUAUUCCUCAAUGUCUGUUGACAUGGACACCUUGAAAAAGGUCAUUUAAAAGCUGUC